CACCCCAGAGCAAGCUGAUUUUUAAAGUUCUGGGUUUUAAGCCCCACUGAUUGUAAGAACUGAAAUUUGGCCCCUUUGGUUUUCACGGCCAAAUGUUAUGGGGAUUUGUCGUUCGCAUGUGGGCUUCCCAGUGUAAGAGUGUAUUUCUGUCCCCUCUCUGCAACCUGCAGUGUCCUUCCAGCGGGCAGUCCCACGGUCUGUUUAGCUCCCAACUGUGUCUCUGCCCUUCCUACACUCUAUGUGGCCUCUUGUCUACCUUUAGCUGUGGAAAGACUGUUCUUCCAGCCUUUGUGUCAUUUUCUGGGUUAUUUGCACUGAUGUGUCUGUUACCUAGUUGUAUCUGUGGGGCAAUGUGAGCUUAGGGUCCUCCUACUCCUCCACCUUCCCUGGAAGUCUGGCUUUCAUUUCUUAAUGGUCCCUGUGGUUAUGCCUCCUUCUCAGGAUUAUUUCAUAUUCAGCCUGCUCCUGCCAAGACAUCCGUUUCCUUCCAGUCUGUGAACCUGAAAAUGUUAUAGUCAGCAUUUCACUUGUUCUUGUAAAUCUUAUUUCUUCAAUUCCCACUUGUUACUAAACCAGUUGUAUUUUUACUCCUUAGUACAAAACUACACCAUGCUGUUGCAUGUGGUAAGAGAUGUUCACAGACUGGCCAAGUCGCCCCAGUGCAGAGAAACGAGAUGCCCCUUGUGUUUUCCUUUUGUUUCAGGGUUUGGGAACUGGAUGAGCUCAAGUUUUUGGCUUUAACAACUUAGUGUGAAAAGUCCAAGACCUGUUGUCGGAGCUCGGAAUGCUUCCUUCCUGAUAAUGGGAAGAUGGGGUCCACCUUUGGGUGAUUCUUAAAUUUGCCAGUUGAUGGGACGCUGUAUCAAUAGCUAAUAAUUAUUGUUAAGUACACAAUGCCUAUGAGGCAGGGACUGUUCUUAUCCACCUUUUACAUCUGGGGAAACUGAGGCACAGGCUGACUUGGUUUACCCAGUGUGGCUCAGCUAUAAACAUAGAACACAGACAUAAUUUUUAAAUGGCUGUAUCAUUUUAUCCUUCUCCUCUGCUUGAGAUGAUUCUGAGUUUCUAGCCAGGAAAAGCGCAUAAAGUUUUCAGAAUGUUCAUUGAAACAAAACCUGUUUUACAACAGCUACAACAAAAACUGUAUAAGGGGCAGGAUUGCCCGUAGAGUGUGUGGGCCUGGGCAAAUUAUUUCUGUGGGUAUCCUGUGUACACAAGCAAUUUAAGACCGCCUCAAAUCAAUAUUCCAGCACCAUUCUGGUGACCCAAUUUCACAUGAUCCCACAAAAAAAACUAAAAUACUGUGCUGGUCAUCAGGAACAAACUGUUCACCAGGAAGCUCUUCUAGAAGCCAGCUCAGAUCCUAUAGGUGUGGGUUCUGGAGCUCUUUGGGGGCAUCUGGCCAACCUUACGCUCUAAAGGGACGAAACGGGAACCAGCUGGUCCCGGCCACCAGAGGGGACCAUGGGGAGGCACUUCCGGGAGCCAGAACCCAUGCAGGACCCUGUAUGUGCUUGGGACACCCCACCCACAUGGUACGAUUGGUUCCAGGCACUGGAAGUGGGGCUUGGCAAGUCCCCAAGAAGGCAUUCCAAAGGCAAAGUUGUGGUGUUGGUAGAGGGGUCCUGAAGCACAGGGCCCGGGGCAGGGAUCCUGACCAGGGUAGAGCUGACCAGUGGGUGAAGUUUGAGCAAUAUUAAGACUAAACAGCAAUCACUUCCAAACUCUUAGGUGCUUUAGCUAUAAGGGGGGAGGGUGGGGGUGAGGGAUGGAAAGCUGUUGUCAGGAGGAAGCCAGCUGGAAAGUUCUAGUAUUUAAAUAUUCUCUUUGUGGGUUUGGUAAAAGACACUUUUCGCUUUUAAAUUGUGUAAAAUGUUCAAACAAAGAAUUGCUUUUCCUUUCAAGUGGCCAGCUCAGCCCAGCUGUCUGUGAAUGCUCUGCAACCCUCUGUGAGCUGGCCCAGGGUGGACAUUAGACAUCUUCUUUACCUAGAUGCCCUUCUCAACAGGUUUAAAGACCGAUUAUGGCAGAGCUACCCUGAUGGGAGCAGGGAGAGAAGUGGACAAAGCUAGGUUGACCUCCUGACGCUGCCGCUUUGGGCAGGUGGGUUCUGAGCCCCGGUGCUAGAUGGAGGGAUAGCAUCUUGCCUACCCCCUGGGGCUGAGACCAGGAUUAAACCUAUACGGGGUAUCUGUAUGAACUCAAAAUGUAAAAGGCAAAUUUGAGCAGCAUCUCUAGAGAAGAAAAGAUACACCAAAGCACUCACUGCUUUCAGCUGUUUUAUUGCUAAACUAUCAUGAUAUAAGCCGUAUAAAAAUACUUUACAUAUAGCAAAAAUAAACUACAUUAAACUGGAGAUUAAAAACAUUUUGCAUAGGAAUGUGAUGUAUUCAAACUUCCUUAACAGUCAAGAUUUUUAAAACCUAAGCCUUCCAGCACCACCCUGUUGGAGAGAAUUCUGUUUGUUGGAGAACUACUUACGGCAUGGUCAACAUUUUCUCCCCUCUGAGGGCUGUAGAGGCAAUGGGGGUAAGGGAGGUUCUUUGACAAGGUGCUCAGGGUCUAAACUUGUCCCAAGGGCAGUGCCGAAAGCCCGUGCCCUAAUGGAAAAUGUAUCCUUUGCUUCCGAUGCGUCCAACCCGGGACGGGGCAGGUGUUUGGGCUGCCGACAGCUGCAUGAAGGCAGGGUGUUAAACGUUUUUUCCAACGCCCAACAUCCCGUCUCCUUUUCAGAGGGGCUCGCUUAGGGACCAUCUCCAGCUCACCAUCACAGAAACGUUUGUUUUUAAACAAACUGAGUUAAGAUGGUGACGUUGGCUAUAACUGAAGGUACUCCCGACAGCGGAGGGAAACUGAUGUUUGCAAUCACAAUCCUUUGUGACACUUCUUAAGCAUGUAGCUGGAAUGCAGGAAAACCCGUGCAUUGGCUGGUUUGGCUCCAUGAGGUUUAAGGCCUAAGCCCUGGGCUUGGAAGACUGGCGGUUAGGAUGUGUUGGGUACCUGCUAAAGGGUCAUCCCUCCAAAAAAAAAAAAAAAAAAAAUGGAUGCCGGACCUUGUCAGGAAUGUCCCAACCCCCAUGCCUCCUGUAAACGUGAACAAAAUUGUUAGCCGGACCUCUGACGGUCUUUCAACUGUGAGUAGAAAGCACUUGGGAAGCAUUUUUUGACAUGAAAACAAACACAUUCAGCCUCCCUUUAGUCUGUUGUAACAACCAGAACAUAUCCGCUUCCAAUCUAAAUGUUGCAGCUCCCACGCUGGCCAAGACGGACUUCCUGAGACCGACGUCUUGGCUACUGGAUGUAAACGAGAAAGGCCCCAUCAGUGCUUUCCAGUUUUUCGAAGGAACCAUCCUGAUUCAUCUAGGGUGUGUCUAUGCUGGAAAACUCUGCAUGUCCUUUGGAUAAUGCAUACAGGGGUUACCUAGCGGGAUUUGGUCAGCUCUGUAAACGGUAGCCUGCACCCAGGGUUCUGUGAACUUUGCGAAGUCUUUCAGAAUCCCGUUACCACACAGGCGGUUUUGGUUUUAACUCACGAUCACCUACUAGGCCACUUCUUUGGGGGAUCUAAACACUUUACAAGACAGUUCUCCUCCGUGACCAGACGCAGGCUCAGAGGUGAAGUCCGUGUCCUCUCUGGCAACAGAUGGUUCCUUUUUCCACAAAGCCAUCCCCCUUCUUUCUCCAAAGAUGCUUUCUUCUAAGACUCAGGUGACUGAUAAACUCUGAGGGGUGUGUGAUAUUUUCGGGACAGAUAAAAAGCAUAAAAAUACAGAUCUGAGAAAUCACGAAGCAGAGCCUUUCGAAGAGCGCCGGGACCUCUGCAUUCUGUUGUUGAUUACGGGGGAAGAAACCGAAUGGCCGAAAACGAAUCCCUGGCUUGUCCCGGGGUGUCCACGGUACAUGCAAACAGGAGCGCAUCUGGGCCAUGAGAACCCACCCCUGCGGAGGACUCCAGAGUUUUCUGUGUUUGCAGAAACUGCACCAGAGGAGGCAGACUCAUGAGGGCUCGCUCUGCGCAGUGGAGACAGAAUUUGGGGGCCAAUCACCAUGCAAGCGGUCCGGGCAGAGCUCUGUCCAACUGCGGACUGCACGUGGGCUGGUUCUCUUCGAUGCGGAUGCAGGCGGCUAAUGCAGACAGGUCUUGGGGACCGAGGGACGCUUGAAAGGGCUUCAGGUAAAGAUCACCAAUGAACUUUGGGGGCCACAGCCUGCGAUGGCGUCCCACGUGGAGUUGCGGGG